CAAGUAUUCUGGGAGGUCAAAAUCUGACAUGUUUCCAGACAACGGUUGCCACGGAUGAGAUGUCUGUUAAGGACUACAUGGUUGACGUUGAUGGGUCCACUUCAACCUCAAUUGAUUAUUUCUAUCUUUUGGAGCGGCCAGGUUAUAUCACCCUUACAUCCCCGGGCUCCCCGGAUGACUGGGCUCACGUGGUCUAUUUCAAUAGCAA